AUUCCGCAGGACCUGACACCGGAAACCGGGCUUCUACUACCGGGUCAGAGCCAUGGCGGUGGCAAAUUCAAGUCCAGUCAACCCGGUGGUGUUUUUUGAUGUCAGCAUUGGCGGCCAGGAAGUUGGUCGCAUGAAGAUCGAGUUGUUUGCAGACGUGGUGCCUAAGACGGCCGAGAACUUUAGGCAGUUCUGCACCGGAGAGUUCAGAAAAGAUGGUGUUCCGAUAGGAUAUAAAGGAAGCACCUUCCACAGGGUCAUAAAGGAUUUCAUGAUUCAAGGUGGAGAUUUUGUUAAUGGUGAUGGUACUGGCGUUGCCAGUAUUUACCGGGGUCCGUUUGCAGAUGAAAAUUUUAAACUCAGACACUCGGCUCCAGGCCUGCUUUCCAUGGCCAACAGUGGUCCCAGUACAAAUGGCUGCCAGUUCUUUAUCACGUGCUCUAAGUGUGAUUGGCUGGAUGGGAAGCAUGUGGUGUUUGGGAAAAUCAUUGAUGGACUCCUAGUGAUGAGAAAGAUCGAGAAUGUUCCAACAGGCCCCAACAAUAAGCCCAAACUGCCAGUGGUAAUCUCACAGUGUGGGGAAAUGUAAUCUAGACCAAGACUGAGCCAGCUCAGUGGCAGUGCACACCCAGAAUCCCAGCCAGGGAGCGGUGGACGGCCUGAACUUGAGAAUGAAUUCAAGGCCACCCUGGCAGCUAGUGAGACCCUGCAUGAAGAGGGGACAGAUGAAGCCGGCUCAGGGUGGGGUGGUGGUGCUGGCUGCCAAGCUUGCAGACCUGAGCCUGCCUCCCAGGACUACCUGAUACUGUGGCUUCAAACACCCAUUUGCACAUGCACAAAAUAAACAUGUAAUUUUUUAGCAGGGCUAGGUGUGGAGGUAUUUGGAGGCUAAGGCAAGGUUGCCCCAAGUUCAGGCCAGGACAGCAGCGUCUUGGCCACCAGUGAAAUAGAAGACUGGGGUGUUGCUCAGGAAUACAAAGCAUACAUUGGACCUGUGUCUGUCUCUACUACUAUAGCCGUGGGGCGGGGGGACAUAAAGUUCUAAGUUUGAUGGCAUCAAGAUUAUUGGUCCAUUAAUGGCUUUUCUGCUUUGCCUUACCUAAUCUUUGCUAACUCCAGUCAUAAUAUCCUCCAUAGUAUAGAGUCUGUACUCUUGGAAAUUACUGUACUUUGUCUACAUGCUUAGGAAAUCGUAGCUGUUUAUUGUGAGUGCAAUGGAAGUCAAAGGACAACAGUCUGUUCUUUUCCUCAUAUGAGUCCCUGAGAUCAAACUCAGGCUUAGCAACAAGGGCCUUAACCCACUGGGCCAUCUCAUUGGUCUAGAGUCUUGUUUUAUUUUUGGGAUGGGGUCUCACUGUAUUACCUUGACUGGCCUCAUUCCACCUCACAAAGAUGCCCUGUCUCUGCCUCUUGUGUGCUGAGAUGCAAGGUAUGCAUCGCCAGCACUGGCAGUCUCUUGAUUUUAAACACAGGUCCAAUCAAAUACCAAACAGGCUCAGGGACCAUGUUGGCAUCCUCUGUGACGUGCUUGUGCUCAGGGGAAGGAAUUUACAGGUGAUCAGUGAAUUCUGAUGGAGAGAGAAUACUAGGCAUUUUAGGAAGGGGACUAGAAUGAGCAAUGCUGAGGCUCCCGUGUACAAGUGCAUUCUGGGAGCUACACAUGGACCUUGCUUGCCUAAGGUUCUCAGGCUGAGUAGACACCCUCUGCCAACAUGGUGUCUCCCCCGGGCUCAACCUGUUCCCCACUUCAAGAGCUACUGGCUCUUCUCUCCUGGUUUUACUCAUUUCUUCACUAAUGAUGAGUUCUUAAGCUGAUCGCUGAUUACUACUAGAUGAUGGAAGAUUUCAAGACAGGGUUUCUCUGUAACAGAGCCCUGGCCGUCUUUGACUUGCUCUGUAGACCAGGCUGGCCUCAAACUCACAGAGUUCUGCCUGCCUCCGCCUUAUGAGCCCUGGAAUUAAAGGUAUGCGCCACCAUACCAGGCUGUCUUUUACUUGUACAUAGAGAAGAUGACAUUUAAAAACUUGUGCAAGCCAGGCAGUAGUGGCACAUGCCUUAAAUCCCAGCACUUGGGAGGCAGAAGCAGGCGGAUCUCCGUGUUUGGGGCCGGCCUGAUCUACAGAGUAAGUUUCAGAACAACCAAGGCUACACAGAGAAACCCUGUUUUGGGGUGGGGGAAGAACUUACUCAAGAACUCAUAUUAGGGACACAGGGUUGUAGCUUAGUGAUAGGGAGCUUACUUGAUGCACACAAGACCCUAGAUUCAAUGCCCAACACCAUAAGAAGCCACAAACAAACAAAACCUUUUUUACAUGGAGUCUCUUUUCUGUACAGUUGUUUGUUUGUUUUUAGUUUUUCUAGACAGGGUAUCUCAGUAUAGCCUUGGCUGUCCUGGACUUGCUUUGUAGACCAGGCUGGCCCUGGAACUCACAGAGAUCCACCUGCCUCUACUCCAGAAUGCUGGGAUUACAGGUGUGCGUCACCACGUCAGCUCUUUACAGUUCUUUACAGAACUGGAAAGCCUUGUGGGGGGCUCUAAGAAUCAUUAGCCUGCCUCCCCGCUAUUAGCAAAAGUCACUUAGAUCUUCUCUGUCAAAGUCCCUCUUGUAGCCCAAGUGGAAGAAAUUCCUCAGUGCUCAUUCACAUUCCUGAGGCCCUCUAGACCGGGACCGUUUACUGGGCAGCCCUGUCUGCAGUGAAGGCAUGCCUGUGUCUAUACUCUAGAAACUAGAGCUAGUUGCCAGCCAGUGAGGUUUAAGCAGGUGAAACAUGGCUGCUGCUUUUCACUUACAAGGAGGGGAGGAGUUUGAAACAGGGACUUAUUUUUUAGCCCUGGCAGAUCAAGAACUCACUUUGUAACCCAGUUUGUACUCAGACUAACAAUCCUCCUUCCUGUCUCUGCCUCCUAAGUGCAGGACUUUAUAAACAUGCAUCACUGUGCUCAGCUACAUUUUAUUUCUGAGACAAAGUUUGAGGUAAUCCAGGCUGGCUUCAGAUUUGCUAUAUAGCUGAGAAUGACUUUGAAUUUCUGAUGCCCCUGCCUCUACCCUCUGAGAACUGGGAUUCCAUCUGGUCUAGAUGGUGCUGGAGCUGAACCCAGGGUUUCCUGUGUAAUAGGCAAGUGUUUGACCAACUGAGCCUCAUUCCCAGCCUCUCCUGGAUUUUUAACCUUACUUUUAAUUAAAUCUGAAGAGUCACAUAUAGCUAAGUGGCUGGCAUGUUCUACAGUGAGCUCUAGACUGGGGCUCCAGCCCUGACUUGCUCGGGCUCGUGCUAGCACUCAUACUUAGGGACCUGACUGUGACAUCAGUUAUGCUGGUAGUUCAGCCGCUCCAGAGGCUGAGGCUUACCUGAGCCCAGAAGAAAUUCAAGGUUAACUCAUGUAAAGCCUAGCAGCGUAGCAUGACUUUUUUGUUUUGAAGGCAAAGAGCUUGCUGAGCAACCAUGCAAGCCUGAGACCAGACCCCUAGUACCCAUAAGCUUGAUCUGGAAUCUGGAGAGAUGGUUCAGUGGUUAAGAGCACUUGUUGCUCUUGCAGAGGAUCGGGUUCACAUGAAGCCCACAUGUGCCCACAUGAAGCUCACAUGAAGCACCCAGUGCCCACAUGAAGCUCACAACCAUCCAUAACUUUAAAUCUAGGAGAUUUGACACUCUUCUGACCUCCUUGGGCACCAGUCACGUAUGUGGUCCACAUACAUACAGCCACUUUGGAUUUCUUCAUAUUGAGACUUGGGACAUAUUAAGAAAAAUAAGGAAUGAACUGUCAUUUUUCUUUUCAGGUGAAAACUUCCAAGCUUCUCUAACCUCCCAGAAAUGUUUGUUACUACUAUUUUAUAUUCGUGUUUUGCCUGAUUGUCUAUCUGUGUCCCACGUGUAUGCCUGGUGCAAUGAUGUUGGAAGAGGAUAUCAGAGCCCUUGGCUACAGUGUGGGUGCUGGGAAUUGAACCUAGGUUGUCUGGAGGAACAGCCAGUGGGUGUUCUUAACCAUUGAGCCGUCUCUCCAGCCCCCUAGAAGUAUUUUUAUUAUACCUUAGGUUUGUUUUGGGUACAAUAAUGAUUGACAGCCGUAUAGAUGAUUCUAAGACCUAUUGAGCAAUUGUUUGUUCUGGUUGGAAGAGGUUGUUUGUGACAAUCUCAGCCUCCUGAGCAUCCAGAUUCCAGGCCUGAGUCACCAAGCCGAGCAUUGUUCCUUAUGCUGGGAUGUACUUCGAAUCCCCAGAAGCAUUUGUUAGAGAGCUGGUUCUGACGACUGUUCACAGGUAGUAGUGAGUGGCAAGGCUCAGCAUGGGGGUUACAGGAUCUGUCCUUUCCGGGAGAAACCCAGCCAGGAGGAAAGGACCCAGCGGGAAUCCCUGUUCCCAGUCUCACUUCUUCAUGGAGCUGAACCUGGAUGAUACUGCCUGGCACUGUAGACAUGGUGACUAUAAUAAAGACGCCAGAAGAGAAACAAGCACCCUAGAUACCUUCACGGUGUGCCCAUGUGUGUGCCUGCCUUUUGGACAUGUGACAGUGUUCCUGCUCUAAGAGCAGGAAGCUCUGCCACCAGAGAGCUGGAAUGUCUGGCUCCUACAUUGUCUUUAUAUUCACGGCAUGGCUCUUCCAUGCAGUAUGAAAAAGAAGAGAGGGGCCUGUGUAUACUGGCAAGACUUCUAAAGUAAAGGAAGUGACUGCUGAGAUCCAGUAUCCUGUCCAAACAUGUCACUUGAAUAUUUCAGAGCUUUCUGUGGUGCUAAUAGCAUACUGCUAAUCGUAGAUGCUUCCACCAACAGAGACCGCAAAGACUUUAUUUUCAUGUUGUCCUAGUUCUGCUUGGGUUUCCUAUGUUGAAUGUGAAUAUGUAUAUAUCCCAGGUCUUUCCAUUCCCUCCCCAAAGCAUGCCUGUGGCUAACAUCAGUUUAGAUCCUGCCUAGGUCCCUCCAGCUGCGAGUUCAGUCCAGUCAGAGGUUUCUACCAGGUUCCAUUACAGCACUUAACACAGCGUAUUGCAAAUAUAUUAGGGUUUUUUGUUUUUUUUUUUUUUGUCUUGACUAAGAAUACCUUGAAGCAAGUACCACAUUGAUUUGUUUCAUUUUAUUUUUCUCAGUGUUCUUUUCUUUUUGGCCACAGUCCAAGCCACUCUUAAACUUCCAGGGGCUGCCUUGAAAAGUAGCAGGGAACUAAACCCUGGACUCUUAAAUUCAGGCUCAGGAACCUUAUCAAUGGAGCUAGCCAAGCCUCCCAAGGGCCACAUUGAGAAUGGACCUUUGUCCCUGCAACACUGAGCUGCUUAUAGUGCACUUUGAGGGCCUAGGGUAAACUUUCUGAACCUACACAGUGAUACCAGAACUUACUGUCCCCUAGAAGAGGGUGUGUCCACAUAAGGGGAGUGGUAAGAGAAAAACAGUGCUAGUACCUGGGUAGACAUACCUUCUUUGAGUACAGCUAACCUGGAAGGCCAUGGGCAACAAACCAUCAAAGCCUGAGGAGAAGGACACAAGCCAUGAGCCAAGCAGAAAGCCUGAACACUGUUAACUCUGUGGCUUUAUUCAGGUCGCCUGCUGUUUUGGGUGACAUUCUCCCGUGAGUCUGACAAGCUGAACUGGCCUGUGUGUUUGCUUCCCUGCCUCCACUGUGUGAUCCAGGACCUGGAAGUAUCACAAUCAGAACCAAGAUCCCGUUUAAAUUUUGAACUGUAAAUAAAGGACUUUUUUUGUA